GAUAGGAAAGCCUUCUUGCAAUCAUCCCAGGUGGUGAUUGAGUCAUGAGGCAUAUUCUUCUCCCACAUGUGUGCUUUGUCGCCCAAGGAGAAUGGAAACAAAUGGAGCUUGAAUCCGUCUUUACUGACACCAUUGAUUUUUGUUAGGUUACAGAGCCUAUCGAAUUCAUCAAGGUGGUCGAGUGGAUCCUCCAUUGGCAGACCAUGGAAUUUGUUCCCCUGAAUCAUCGAGAUGAGAUCACUCUUAAUCUCGAAGUUGUUGUUCUCGAUAGCAGGAGGUGCAAUUCCUUUCCGCUGACGGUGAUCUUGUGGUGCAUCUCGAGCUCCAAUGUUGGCAGGGCCAUUUUGUUGAUUCUGUUCGUCAGCCAUUUCGAGUGGUUGCUGAGGUACAAGGUUGACUGUGUUUCUCCUUUCUCUUAGUUCGCGAGCUAUGCGGUCGAUGUUAUCAUUGAAAAGGAGGUUCUGAUUGCCUGUUGAUCGAGUUUGCAUACAGUAGAGGUGUACCUGGAUCAAGAAGACAACAAGAAAAACACACAGUUAGCAAUCGAUUUGAAAAUUGAAAAAGAAUUUGAUCUAAGCAAGUCUGAAAUCUCAAAUGUAACAAACAAACACCCAAUUGGCAACGACACCAAAUUGAUAAUAGGUUUUUAAGAUCAAUUAAUCCUAAAGCACUAUCAUGUCGUUGUAAUACUGAAGGUUGUCAAUCCAAAUGGGUGUGAUGCUAACAAUCAAGAUGUGAUCAGAAGUCACUAAGUCAAGCCAAGCAUUAACAGGUUUUGGUGUGUUCUAGUAGUACUAAGUGAACAUGCAGAAAACAGAAAAUCAAAAAGAAACAGUAAAACACUCGACCAACACAGCUCAUUGCAGAGCGCUGGGUGAGGUCGAGUAACAGACAGUGAAUUAAACAAAGAUACUCGACUGCAUAGUCUGUUGCGAGACAACUGGGUGAUUGAGUAUCAGGUCGAGUAACAAGAAAGAAUUGUAGAAACUAAGCAACAGAUGACAAGAUGCGGUAAACAAAAGUAAAGUAAACAAUAAAUUCAAUCAGAUAAAGAAUUCCCGAGGAUGGGGUAAUUU
rnacentral:sRNA from 1 species